GUGCUCACUUUGGUAGCACAUAUAUUAAAAUUAGAAUGAUACAGAGAAGAUUAGCAUGGCCCCUGUGAAAGGACGACAAGCAAAUUCAUGAAGCAUUCCAUAUUUUU
ensembl:snRNA U6 U6 spliceosomal RNA